GAUACGGGAAGGCUCUAAUUAUAUUCAGAACGGUCGUGAAUGAGUCCGUUUGAAAAGUCGGAAUCGCAAGAAAAUUUUCCGCGCUUCGAGCAAAUUGUUGGAUGAGCUAGAUUUGCACGCAACAGGAUGCGUGCAAAUCGAGAACGAGCGAUGGAAUGAAUAUUUAUAUCCCGAAUUUUCAAGAGAGGGAGAGGUGAAACGCCAAGCACCAUCAUACCUAGAAAUAUGCGAGGAAACGCAGUGAGUCACUGAGUAUGUAUCUCUGCUGUAUGUUACAUCGCGAAUUAUAGUGAAUGUCCCAAGUGCUGCAUCAAUACAAAGACAUUUCACAUUUUGCAGAUCGUGCAUUAAACGUAACACAUUUCACGAUAUUAGCGGUAGCAAUAAUUUAUGGCAAAGCAGAGCAUCAAGUAUGUACCUUAUUAUUAAACGUCACUCCGCUACGGGAAUAUCAAUGUACGUGUGUGUUUAUAGCUGAGGAGUGGCUCAUUGAAACGAUCGUCACGAGUACUCGUAAACAUUACUGAUUGUGCGUAUUAACUGCGCUAAAUGUUAUACCGCAUAUGAAGAAAAAUUGUACUAAUAUAAAAACGUUAAAAAAAAAAAAAA